GAUGGAAGAAUAGGGACUAGGAGUGAUUGGAUUCUCAAAGAUUAUUCCAAUGGUGAUAUUAGUGGAAGGGCUACAAGGUGUGUGUUUUUUAAAUUUAUUUUCUUCUCUACCUCCUUUAAUUGUUCUUUUAGCUAAAUGAUAAAGUCUUCAUGAAAUGGGUGAUGAUGAAUGAGGAUACUAGAAGAAUGCAAAAAGUCAUUGAUGAUGUCAAAGAAGGAUAGUUAGUUUUUUGCCCCAUGACACUCACGUAUAGUCGCCUUCAUUUUUUAUAUUAUUUCAGUUAACAUCUAUAAUAAUGUUGUUACAGUUUUGAGUUUUUGGCUUCCACUCCAUAUUAGCAUUUCCUAAAGAGAACAGUUACAGUCUGAAGAAAAUAACAAAACUUGAAGAUCCUCAGAUGCACAAUCUGGAAGCAUGCCUACUAUGCCCACCAUGCCUGAAGCUGGAUUCCCUGCAAAUCCUUUCGACUUUUCAUCUAUGGCUGGUCUACUUAAUGAUCCUAACAUUAAGGAAUUAGCUGCACAAAUAGCAAAAGAUCCAUCACUCAAUCGGAUGACAGAGCAACUUCAACAAACUUUUCAUGCUCCUGAUGAAGGUGUCCCUCAAUUUGACACCCAACAGUGUUAUUCCACAAUGCAACAGGUUAUGCAAAACCCACAGUUCAUGACCAUGGCUGAGCGCCUUGGUAAUGUCAUGAUGCAGGAUCCAUCAAUGUCUCAGACAGCUAAGGAGACCAGGGCUACCUACUUUGUGGCAUCAGUUUUCUUGGAUCAAAGGGGAGGGAUAAAUGAACACAACUGAAGUUGCCACGGUAAGCUCCUGUUACAUGCUAGCUGAUGUGGUCAUCCCGUUAUCUCUGGAGGCCACUGAAGUUGCCCCGAUAAGUUGUUUCCAGCUCCAUGGUAGAAGCACAUUGUUUUAUUGAACUAGGCUUCCUAAUCGACUUAAAGAAUGAAAAAAGGUCAAAUUCUCGACAUCAACCUAGACUUCAGGCACCAUUUUUUCCCAGAUCAAAAAGUACCCUCAGGAUAUUCAUCUUCAACUAAAACAUAUUUGAAGUUUUUAUAGCUUAACAUAAGUCUAAUUAGUUACAUAUAUCAAAUAUUAAUACCAUGUGUGUGUAUAUUGCAGCCGAAAACUUCCAUCUUCCUUACAUAAUAAAGCAGACACAAUUAGCUUUUUGUUUAUUAUCAAAGAGGAUGGAAGACAAGUUCCACUUCUCAGGACUUUGUGGCUUACAAGGUUACCUUUAUUUCCCCAUAACUCAGUGAUUCAAUAAAUUGCAUCCCACAACCGUUGUUAAUGACUAAUAUACCCUUUUGUCUCAUGAAAAUUGCAAUUUUUUAAGAACCAUGUUACAGUUGUUUUAUUUUUAUCUUGGGACCUGAACAACUUCUCAAACGGGCUCAACUUAUGGAAAGGUGGUCACACUUGGAGGGAUGGCCAAGUUGCAUAGCUAAUGAAACUUUACAUGGGUAUUCAUCCUCAAGAUGCACAUAUCAGAUUAUCCUGGUUUCUUUGACAAUAACACAAGUGAUGAAGUCCGCAGAGAAUACUUGGAGGCCCUGCUGCAUGAAUGUAAGAAAAAGGAAGGUGCUCCUGUUUUGAUUGAUGAUGGUCUCAACGAUCUUAUAGCCAGGAGGAUGAAUAACCAAACAGAUCAAUCACGUUGGCUGGAAUAUGUAAAUUAUCAACAAACCAGGUGGCUGGAAUUGGACCUAAAGUUGGUUGCUGAUAUAGGAAUAGUGGGUGCUCCAAAUGCAAGAAAAAGCAUGUUUUUCAGUGAUAUUAGUGUUGACAUGUAAUGUUAGCUAACUUGUUUGAUAUGUGAUAUUUUUUUGAAAUGAAUUAUCGUUCUUAUGUAUGCUAUUUUAUGUCGUAUUAUGAUAAUUUAAUUCUGUUGUUUAAUUUGAAAA